rnacentral:misc_RNA from 1 species
UACAGAGGGUGCAAGCGUUAAUCGAAAUAACUGGGCGUAAAGGGCGCGUAGGUGGAUGUUCAAGUGAGAUGUGAAAGCCCUGGGCUUAACCUGGGAGGUGCAUUUUAUACUGGACGUCUAGAGUGAAGGAGAGGUAAGUGGAAUUUCCGGUGUAGCGGUGAAAUGCGUAGAUAUCGGAAAGAACACCGAUGGCGAAGGCAGCUUACUGGCCUUUAACUGACACUGAGGCGCGAAAGCGUGGGGAGCAAACAGG